rnacentral:snRNA from 1 species
AUACUUAGCUGGCAGAGGAGAUACCAUGAUCACGAAGGUGGUUUUCCCAGGGCAGGGCUUAUCCAUUGCACUCAGGAUGUGCUGACCCCUGCAAUUUUCCCAAAUGUGGGAAACUCAACUGCAUAACUUGUGAUAGUGAGAGACUGCGUUCUCACUUUCCCCUA